rnacentral:rRNA from 1 species
GAUGAACGCUGGCGGCGUGCCUAAUACAUGCAAGUCGAGCGAACGGACGAGAAGCUUGCUUCUCUGAUGUUAGCGGCGGACGGGUGAGUAACACGUGGAUAACCUACCUAUAAGACUGGGAUAACUUCGGGAAACCGGAGCUAAUACCGGAUAAUAUUUUGAACCGCAUGGUUCAAAAGUGAAAGACGGUCUUGCUGUCACUUAUAGAUGGAUCCGCGCUGCAUUAGCUAGUUGGUAAGGUAACGGCUUACCAAGGCAACGAUGCAUAGCCGACCUGAGAGGGUGGUCGGCCACACUGGAACUGAGACACGGUCCAGACUCCUACGGGAGGCAGCAGUAGGGAAUCUUCCGCAAUGGGCGAAAGCCUGACGGAGCAAAGCCGCGUGAGUGAUGAAGGUCUUCGGCUCGUAAAACUCUGUUAUUCGGGAAGAACAUAUGUGUAAGUAACUGUGCACAUCUUGACGGUACCUAAUCAGAAAGCCACGGCUAACUCCGUG